UACGUAGGGUGCAAGCGUUAAUCGGAAUUACUGGGCGUAAAGCGUGCGCAGGCGGUUUGCUAAGACCGAUGUGAAAUCCCCGGGCUUAACCUGGGGACUGCAUUGGUGACUGGCAAGCUAGAGUGUGGCAGAGGGGGGUAGAAUUCCACGUGUAGCAGUGAAAUGCGUAGAGAUGUGGAGGAAUACCGAUGGCGAAGGCAGCCCCCUGGGCCAACACUGACGCUCAUGCACGAAAGCGUGGGGAGCAAACAGG
rnacentral:rRNA from 1 species